UACGAAGGGGGCUAGCGUUGCUCGGAUUCACUGGGUUUAAAGGGUGCGUAGGCGGGCAGGUAAGUCCGUGGUGAAAUCUCUGAGCUUAACUCAGAAACUGCCAUGGAUACUAUUUGUCUUGAAUAUUGUGGAGGUAAGCGGAAUAUGUCAUGUAGCGGUGAAAUGCUUAGAUAUGACAUAGAACACCAAUUGCGAAGGCAGCUUACUACACAGUUAUUGACGCUGAGGCACGAAAGCGUGGGGAUCAAACAGG
rnacentral:rRNA from 1 species